UACGUAGGGCGCAAGCGCUGUCCGGAAUUAUUGGGCGUAAAGAGCUCGUAGGCGGUUUGUCGCGUCGGCUGUGAAAGCCCGGAGCUCAACUCCGGGUCUGCAGUCGAUACGGGCAGACUUGAGUGUUGCAGGGGAGACUGGAAUUCCUGGUGGAGCGGUGAAAUGCGCAGAUAUCAGGAGGAACACCGAUGGCGAAGGCAGGUCUCUGGGCCACUACUGACGCUGAGAAGCGAAAGCAUGGGGAGCGAACAGG
rnacentral:rRNA from 1 species